GAGUAGGCUAAUUCUUGCCUCACAGAGCUAUAAAACUUGCUUGGGGUGUUACUAACUUAAGUGACAGCACUUUAUUCAAAAUAAUUCUUAUUCUCCAUGACAGGCAUUCCAACACCUUCUUUUGAGGUGGGCAUAAUUUUGAUGAAAGAGAAGUAGGCUCAUUUCUUACUUUUUGUGACUGAAUUUUGUUUCUUUGAGCGUCUUGCUCUUAUAGUAAUGGAGGUUGCUAAAAUACUUUGGAGUAUGGGCUUAGAAGGCAGUUAUACUAUUUACCAUAUUACAUCUCUAAGUUGCACUCUCAAAACUUACUUUUCAAGUGCAUUUAGUCAAAGGGAUUCUUAAGUAGUUCAUCUAAUACAAAAUACUAUAACAUCCUAUUUUGCCAUGCCUAGAUCUUAUAGCUAAUUAAUAUUUUUAAAUGUGAAAUCGGUAAAAGUUUGUUUGAAACCAAGCACCCCCCACCAAAAAAUCACGCUUACUCUAGUCUGAUUCUGAAGGCAGAGUGCGGGUUUAACUCAGAAUGUGUCUUGUCUGUAGGUUCCAAGGUGGCCGCAGAGCCAGUGUGUGAAGCGGUGGGAGUUUUUCAUCUCAGCAUAAGAAACUGGCAGUCAGAGCUUCAAGGUGACGGCGAUGGUCCAGCUCCCGUAGGAGAGCAUUCAAGGGUUCCCACAUGUAUGGGCUAAACCUCGUGCCUUCUAUAUGACAGUCAAAGAAGAUCAAAGGCCUGCUAAAGACCUUUGUUACUGGAAUCACUGAUCUCAAGGGCCUUCACUGUUACAGAUAUGUGGUAGGUCUUGUGGGAUAGAGGAAAGGGGCCUGGAUUUGGGAUCGGAAUGUUGGGCUGGCACCCAUGCCAGGUGCUUUAUCUGAAAUUCAUCCCCUUCAUUCAGUUCUCACCAUUCUCCUCUGAAGUAGGUACCGCUACUUCCGUUAGAGAGCUUGUAUAGCAGGAUAAAACAAUGAUGCCUGGCUUGCACAUAGCAAACUUGAGAAAUUUCAUUUGGCUUCUGAACCCGUCCUUUGUUUUCUCUGUUGUCUGAUCCUACAUUGUUCUUACUACCAUGUUCACAGGGUAAGUGUUUAACCUCUCUGAGUCUUACUCUGUCCCUUCUAAAUUGCAGGUAAUUAUACCUACCCCACAGGGCGUUUGUGGAGAUCAGAUGAGAUCAUUUAAAUGGAACGUGCUAUUCGAAGUGGGAUGUAAGUGUUAGGAAUUAUGAAUAUGCUAACGAAAAUGGUCAUUAUGUUUACUUCCAAGCUUAUAUUGACUCCUGAAAAUUUGAUAUUUAAUUGUUUAGUUUCUAGUUUACAAAUUUUAUCAAUUAAAAAAAAAUUUCCUGAAAAAGCC
rnacentral:lncRNA from 1 species